rnacentral:misc_RNA from 1 species
UUUUUCCAAUGUAAGACUAGAAAUAUUUGAGCUUUGUUGUAAGUGUAUUCAUUUUGCUAUAUCAGGAGAUUGUUGGCAUAUUAAUAAAGUAAGUGUGUAUUCAAGACUUUACAUAGAUAUUUACCAAAAUUUACAUGAUAUUUAUCAAAAACAUUCAGCAAUGAGUGAUGGAAUUGUGAGUUUCUCGGAUUUCAAACUAAAUUCUUGGCUUCUUACACAAUGCAAAGCUAUGGGUUUAAAGCAACCAACUGCAAUUCAACAAAAUUGCAUUCCCAGAAUACUAGGAGGUGAAGAUUGUAUAGGUUGUGCUAAGACUGGUAGUGGUAAGACUUUGGCAUUUGCCUUGCCUAUUUUGCAAAAGUUAUGUGAAGACCCUUAUGGUAUAUUUGCUCUUGUGUUAACACCAACGAGAGAGCUAGCUUUUCAGAUUGCUGAUCAAUUUGCUGCCAUUGGCAAAGCUAUCAAUUUGAAGAAAUGUGUAAUAGUUGGUGGCAUGGAUAUGAUGGUACAAGGAUUAGAGUUGUCCAAGCGACCUCAUAUAGUUGUAGCCACACCAGGUCGCCUAGCGGAUCAUUUAGAUAGCUGUAAUACAUUUUCUUUGAAGAGAAUAAAAUUUCUAGUCUUGGAUGAGGCUGAUAGACUAUUAGGUGGUCAUUUUGAUAAACAACUGAAGACAAUUUUUGCUACACUACCAGAACAGAAACAAGUAUUGUUGUUCAGUGCUACAAUGACAAAUGAUCUUGAUAAUGUAAAAAGCGUAGCUUCCAAUAAGGUAUUCAUAUGGGAAGAAAAAGAUGAUGCUGGUAUCGCUACUGUGAAGGAACUGGAUCAACGUUAUGUAUUAUGUCCUAAAGAUGUGCUUGACUCGUAUCUAGUGGAAGUAAUCAGAACGUUUUGUGCCACAAAUAAAAAUGGCUCCAUUAUGGUAUUUACUGACACAUGCAAAAAUUGUCAAUUGUUAUCGAUGGCAUUAAACGAUGUUGGAUUUACGAACGUGGCUCUCCAUGCAAUGAUCAAGCAGAAGGAACGUUUAGCUGCGUUAAAUAAGUUCAAGUCGAAUCAUGUGCAGAUCUUAAUUGCUACAGACGUUGCAGCGAGAGGUUUAGACAUUCAUGAAGUAGAAUUGGUUGUUAAUCACGUAAUACCGAACGUACCAAAAGAAUACAUUCAUAGAGUGGGUAGAACGGCUCGGGCAGGGAGGAAUGGUAUGGCGGUAAGCCUGAUAACGCCACACGAUGUGAAACUAUUACACGCGAUUGAAGACGCCAUAGGUACCAAGCUAACAGAAUAUAAAGUGGAUGACAAAGAAAUCGUUACAAUCUUGACGCAAAUAUCAGUAGCAAAACGAGAGGCGGAAAUCAAGUUGGAUGAAACAGAUUUUUUUGAAAAGAAAAUGAUUAAUAAGCGCAAAAAAUUAAUCUUGGAGGGAGAAAUCGACGCAGACAAGUAUCUAAUUCCGGAUGAAACAGAUGAAGAGAACGAAAUCAUAGAUAAAGACAAAAAAAGGAUGAAGGAUAGACAUAAGAGACAAAAGGAGAUGAAAAAGACGAAAAAACAAUUUGAAAAAUAAAGAGAAUAUCCAACAUCGGAAAAUGUAUGCUAUAUCCGUCACAUUCAUCCUAAAAAUGCAAAUAUGUCUUUAAACACAUACAA